GGCCCACUGCCUUUUGACGAAAGGCGGUGGAGUUUCUGACGGGGAAAGGAAGAGACAAUUGCGCAUCGCGUCCCGCAGGCGUGGUGCGGCCAGCCUGGGCGGCAUAAAAGGCGCGGGAAGUCAGGUCCCGCUCUCACUCCCUCUCCCGACCAGGUCCAAGAUUCACGAAGCGGCUCCACGCUCAGCACCACGCCUCAUCGACACGUGGGCCAGUACCCUUACCACUUCUACGUUUUGUUUACUGUGUACACGGGAUUUCUCAAGCAAUCGGACUCCCUCUCCGCUACUAUGGUCCCACAACUGAUAUUCUCCAAUCCUUUGGGGCCUUCCACAUCCCAGGCCGGUACCGCAGGGGCCCCCUGCCCUACCCAGCAAACCCUAAGGUAAGAGAGUUUCCUGUACAAGUUAGUCAGGACUACCCCCAGUGCUGGCGUGUGUUUGCGCCGUCCCUCGCGGCCCGUUCGUUCCGCUUAGCUAGUUCCCUAGGGCCUUCCGCCUGCUUGCCUCCCUGGGGUUGCUGGCGUUCCUCCAGGUCGGGACUGGUGCGCUGGUUAUCUGCGGCGACUUCAUGUGGCCUGGUUUCGGUGGUCCUGUGCCCUGGGGCCCGGCCCUAUUGCGUGCUCGGUGGACCAUUCGUCCCAGGUGUGCCCUCCCCGGUUUGCUGUGCCCCUAGGCUUGCCCUAGGGGCCAUGUUUCGCCCGCGCCUGGCCGUGCGUGCGCGGCCAGGCUCCUUCUGUGGUCUGGCAUCGCCCUCUGUGGCGACGCCACGCGGCGGUUCCCGGGGUUCUGAGCCCUGGGGCCCAAGCCCGGUAGGCGGCGCCCACGUGGCUUUGAGCUCGGUGAAGCACUCGCCCCAAGGAUGCCCUUCGUUUCCUUCCCCGUCCCAGGCGUUUUCCCCGGAACC